GGGAGGUGAACCUGUCUUCAGUAGCCCAUGCCAUUCUCUGUCUCUAGAGACCCAGACCCAGGCCAGGGUGGCCCUCCAUGGUGGGGACAGUGGAGUCACCGUGGACUUGGCAGCCCUGGUGGCUUGGCCACGGCGUGGCCCACUGCAGCUGGUGGCCAAUGCCAGCCACACAGUGCCUGCUCUCCAGAGGCUGGGCCUGCCCUUCACCAACCAGCUCGUGUUCCAAGGACUCUGGGAGGCAGAAGAGAUGAGCUCCUCACUGCAGCUGACCUGCGAUUCUCAGGCCACCUUGGUCCUUGACGUCUGUGGCCAGAACCAGGCAGUCAGCUCAGCGCUCUUCCCAGGGAGCUGUUCCUGCAGACCACAUACGAGCGAGCUCGUGGGACCCGUGUCCUGCGCCAGGUGGUGCUGUGGGAUGGCCAGGAGGUGGCCCUCACCGGGAGCCUUUCUGGGCCUUUCCCCAAGCCCACCAGGAACCUCAGCCUGCAGGUGGAGCUCACCCACCCGCUGCCCCUCCC
rnacentral:sRNA from 1 species